AUAGGCAUUAUUCUGACUAAUCAUCUCUUUAAAAUAGGUAAUAGAUGGGGGCACCGGGGUGGCUCAGUUGGUUAAGCGUCUGACUCUUGAUUUUUGGCUCAGGUCGUGAUCCUGCGUCCUGAGACUAAGCCCCAGGACAGGCUCCCCAGUCAGUGUGGAGUCUGCUUCAGAUGGUUUCUCCCUCUCUACUCCUCCCCACUGGCUCCCUCCCUCUCUCUCUUUCUCUCAAAAAAAUAAAUAAAUAAAAUAUUUAAAAACAAAAUAAAAUAGGUAAUACAUGAACAAAGUGUUAAAAAAAAGUCAAGCCAUGCAGGAUUAUAAAUGGACACACGUACACACGCACAUAGAGUCAGGUUUGCCUCUAUCCAUUGUCCUCUAGCUACCCAGUCCUCCUCAAAGGUGCUGUUCUUGUCUAUCCUUUCAGAGAUGAUCAGUGCAGUUUCCUCACUUCUAAAUUUGGUAAUUCCGCUGUACUUGGGAUUUUGACAAGUUUUCCACCUGCUAAGAAACGGUGUCCUGAAGCCCGUGUCUUCCUAAAUUGAGAGCUAAAGGAAAAGGAAAUGCAAGAGCCAAAUGAGAUCCUUGUCACAAGAAACAAAGGACACUGGGAAAAAAAGGCAUGAAAGGAAAAGAGCACAAGCAGGGGAAGCAGCAGAGGGAGAGAAGCAGGCUCCCUGCUGAGUAGAGAACCCAAGGACUAUGACUCUUGGCUCAAUCCCAUCACCCUGGGAUCAUGACCUGAGCGGAAGGCAGACUCUUAACCAACUGAGCCACCCAGUCACCCCUUAGUGGAAUGUGAGAAGUGAUGUCUGCCACGACCAGAUCUUUUCCUCAAAGAAACUGGCAUGCCUUCAACCUGUUUUUUCCUCUAACCUUCUGGUCUGGAUACAAAAGUGAUGGUGGAGGCAAGAACCCCCAGCUUGGACCCAGAGACCAAAGCCACAUAUUGAAGAUGGCAAAGCCUCUUUACCAGCCCAGAACGACCUACUUGGGCUAUUAGUGUACCAUUUGAUAAGAAGAGGACUACUUUUGUCAGAAAAGAGAAAUAACUCCAGUUUUUUGUUUUGCUUAUACUUUGCUACUGACAUUCAAGAAAGUAUAUUGGGUAAUUUUAAAGCUAGCAAUUGUAAACCAUAUAGUUUGUCAAAGCAACUGUAAUAACUCAUGUUUGCUGGCCUAGAUCAUGAGAACAAACUGCUUUCAGUAGAAGUAAGUCAAUUAUAUGAAACAAUUUUUUUCUAGAUAAUUAGGUAGUAAUUAUGAAGGGAUCUGAUAUUUAGUCACUAAUUUUCCUUAGUAACUAAAUAUUUGAAAUAGGUGCCAUGCCCUUGGAAUGAACCUUAAAGUCUUACCUCCUACCAGGCUGGAUGCAUUAUAAGGCACAGAGGGUGGUGUGUAUGUAGAGACCUAAGGAGGGUGUAAAACCAUAGCUAUGGAACGGUUUACCCAUUAUUUCAAAAUAAGCUGAGAACCCAUAGCUUCCAAUAUGUCACCCUUAAAAAUGGAUUGGUAUAGCGUUUUCCAACAUUCUCAAACCUAAGUUUUUCUUUCAAAUUAUUCUUACACAAAACCUAAUACAUGCCAUUAAAAUAGAUAAGUAAGGAGUUUCCCUUUGUGAUCCUUAUGUCUGGGGACAGGGAGGGAAGGAGCGGUCUCACUCAAUGAGUUCAUCCCCCAACAGCUCCUGCUGAUCCCUACAGAGUUUCUGAAAAUCUGCCCCCCAGAUCCUAUUGAUCAGAAUCAAACCGAGUCAGCAUGACUAUUUUCCCUCUGGCCAAAGGCCAAGAAGAUACUAUAUCAUAUGAUGGAGUACUGGGGCUAAUGAACAAUAAAGGUUUGCUGAUUGAUAAAAGUUUGUCUAUUCAGAAAGUUUGGUUUACUUGAAAUGGUCAUGUUUAAAUACUAAUCAGAUGCCCUUUGUUAUUUGUACUUAUUUUUCCAUAAGUGU